UGUAGAAUCCCGUGAACCAUCGAGUCUUUGAACGCAAGUUGCGCCCGAAGCCUUUAGGCCGAGGGCACGCCUGCCUGGGCGUCA
rnacentral:rRNA from 1 species